AGGGCUCUUCCUGUGUCAUGGCGCCGAAGAACUUUCCCCUCGCACAUUGCACAUUGUACCCUGGCUGGAUACGCUGCUUUCUGUGAACUCUACAAGCUAUAGUCUGUAUUGGAAAUACCCUAGGAGACCCUCAAGCUGCGCAAUGGUCUUGUUUCUCUUUUCUGCUUGGAUCAGAGGGCAAU
rnacentral:lncRNA from 1 species